rnacentral:rRNA from 1 species
GGCGAACGGGUGAGUAAUAUAUCGGAACGUGCCCAGUCGUGGGGGAUAACGCAGCGAAAGCUGUGCUAAUACCGCAUACGAUCUAUGGAUGAAAGCGGGGGAUCGCAAGGCCUCGCGCGAUUGGAGCGGCCGAUAUCAGAUUAGGUAGUUGGUGGGGUAAAAGCCCACCAAGCCGACGAUCUGUAGCUGGUCUGAGAGGACGACCAGCCACACUGGAACUGAGACACGGUCCAGACUCCUACGGGAGGCAGCAGUGGGGAAUUUUGGACAAUGGGCGAAAGCCUGAUCCAGCAAUGCCGCGUGCAGGAUGAAGGCCUUCGGGUUGUAAACUGCUUUUGUACGGAACGAAACGGUCUGCUCUAAUACAGUGGGCUAAUGACGGUACCGUAAGAAUAAGCACCGGCUAACUACGUGCCAGCAGCCGCGGUAAUACGUAGGGUGCGAGCGUUAAUCGGAAUUACUGGGCGUAAAGCGUGCGCAGGCGGUUCUAUAAGACAGAUGUGAAAUCCCCGGGCUUAACCUGGGAACUGCGCUUGUGACUGUAGGACUCGAGUGUGGCAGAGGGGGGUGGAAUUCCACGUGUAGCAGUGAAAUGCGUAGAGAUGUGGAGGAACACCGAUGGCGAAGGCAGCCCCCUGGGUCAACACUGACGCUCAUGCACGAAAGCGUGGGGAGCAAACAGGAUUAGAUACCCUGGUAGUCCACGCCCUAAACGAUGCGAACUAGGUGUUGGGGAAGGAGACUUUCUUA